UACGAGGGGUGCAAGCGUUGCUCGGAAUUAUUGGGCGUAAAGGGUAGGUAGGUGGUCUCAUUUGUCUGGGGUGAAAGCCUUGAGCUUAACUCAAGAAGUGCCCCAGAAACGGUGAGACUGGAGUCUUGGAGAGGGUCGUGGAAUUCCCGGUGUAGCGGUGAAAUGCGCAGAUAUCAGGAGGAACACCAAUGGCGAAGGCAGCACUCUGGGACGUGACUGACGCUGAGACGCGAAAGCGUGGGGAGCAAACAGG
rnacentral:rRNA from 1 species